rnacentral:rRNA from 1 species
GAUGAACGCUGGCGGCGUGCCUAAUACAUGCAAGUAGAACGCUGAAGGAGGAGCUUGCUCUUCUGGAUGAGUUGCGAACGGGUGAGUAACGUGUAGGUAACCUGCCUGGUAGCGGGGGAUAACUAUUGGAAACGAUAGCUAAUACCGCAUGACAACAGUUAUUGCAUGAUAACUGUUUAAAAGGGGCAACUGCUCCACUACCAGAUGGACCUGCGUUGUAUUAGCUAGUUGGUGAGGUAACGGCUCACCAAGGCGACGAUACAUAGCCGACCUGAGAGGGUGAUCGGCCACACUGGGACUGAGACACGGCCCAGACGCCUACGGGAGGCAGCAGUAGGGAAUCUUCGGCAAUGGACGGAAGUCUGACCGAGCAACGCCGCGUGAGUGAAGAAGGUUUUCGGAUCGUAAAGCUCUGUUGUAAGAGAAGAACGAGUGUGAGAGUGGAAAGUUCACACUGUGACGGUAUCUUACCAGAAAGGGACGGCUAACUACGUG